rnacentral:rRNA from 1 species
CCGUAACUAUAACGGUCCUAAGGUAGCGAAAUUCCUUGUCGGGUAAGUUCCGACCCGCACGAAAGGCGUAAUGAUUUGAGCGCUGUCUCGACAAUGCAUCCGGUGAAAUUGAAGUACCAGUGAAGAUGCUGGUUACCUGCGCCAGGACGGAAAGACCCCAUGGAGCUUUACUCCAGUUUGGUACUGGGAUCCGGUACUGCAUGUACAGGAUAGGUGGGAGGCUAUGAAUCGGUAACGCCAGUUGCCGAGGAGCCGCUGUUGGGAUACCACCCUUGCAGUAUUGGGUUUCUAACCAGCCGUCGUGACCCGGCGGUGGGACAAUGCCAGACGGGGAGUUUGACUGGGGCGGUCGCCUCCGAAAGGGUAUCGGAGGCGCUCAAAGGUUCCCUCAGAAUGGUCGGAAACCAUUCGAAGAGUGCAAAGGCAGAAGGGAGCUUGACUGCGACACCGACGGGUGGAGCAGGUACGAAAGUAGGACUUAGUGAUCCGGUGGUAUAAAGUGGGAUUGCCAUCGCUCAACGGAUAAAAGCUACCCUGGGGAUAACAGGCUUAUCACUCCCAAGAGUUCACAUCGACGGAGUGGUUUGGCACCUCGAUGUCGGCUCAUCGCAUCCUGGGGCUGUAGUAGGUCCCAAGGGUUGGGCUGUUCGCCCAUUAAAGCGGUACGCGAGCUGGGUUCAGAACGUCGUGAGACAGUUCGGUCCCUAUCUGUCGUGGGCGCAGGAUAUUUGAUGGGAGCUGUCCCUAGUACGAGAGGACCGGGAUGGACGCACCUCUGGUGCACCAGUUGUCACGCCAGUGGCACAGCUGGGCAGCUAUGUGCGGAACGGAUAAACGCUGAAAGCAUCUAAGCGUGAAGCCGGCCUUAAGAUAAGAUAUCCCACUGAGUCAAUCAGGUAAGACCCCUUGAAGACUACAAGGUUGAUAGGCUCAAAGUGUAAGCACGGUGACGUGUUUAGCUAGCGAGUACUAAUCGGUCGAGUGCUUAACCUU